AUGCACGCUGGCGGCGUGCUUAACACAUGCCAGUCGAACGAUGAAGCCCAGCUUGCUGGGUGGAUUAGUGGCGAACGGGUGAGUAACACGUGAGUAACCUGCCCUUAACUCUGGGAUAAGCCUGGGAAACUGGGUCUAAUACCGGAUAGGAGCGUCCACCGCAUGGUGGGUGUUGGAAAGAUUUAUCGGUUUUGGAUGGACUCGCGGCCUAUCAGUUUGUUGGUGAGGUAAUGGCUCACCAAGGCGACGACGGGUAGCCGGCCUGAGAGGGUGACCGGCCACACUGGGACUGAGACACGGCCCAGACUCCUACGGGAGGCAGCAGUGGGGAAUAGUGCACAAUGGGCGCAAGCCGGAUGCAGCGACGCCGCGUGAGGGAUGACGGCCUUCGGGUUGUAAACCUCUUUCAGUAGGGAAGAAGCGAAAGUGACGGUACCUGCAGAAGAAGCACCGGCUAACUACGU
rnacentral:rRNA from 1 species